CCUACGGGAGGCAGCAGUAAGGAAUAUUGGUCAAUGGACGGAAGUCUGAACCAGCCAUGCCGCGUGGAGGAUGAAGGUCCUCUGGAUUGUAAACUUCUUUUAUCUGGGAAGAAAUGCUUUUUUUCUAAAGAGCUUGACGGUACCAGAUGAAUAAGCACCGGCUAACUCCAUGCCAGCAGCCGCGGUAAU
rnacentral:rRNA from 1 species